AAGGUGGGGACGACGUCAAGUCAUCAUGGUCCUUACGUCUGGGGCUACACACGUGCUACAAUGGGCAGGCUAAAGGGUCGCGAACGCGCAAGCGGGAGCCAAUCCCCAAAACUGCCCUCAGUUCGGAUUGUCGUCUGCAACUCGACGGCAUGAAGCUGGAAUCGCUAGUAAUCGUAGAUCAGCUACGCUACGGUGAAUACGUUCCCGGGCCUUGUACACACCGCCCGUCUACACCAUGGGAGUUGGCCACGCCCGAAGUCGUUCACUCCAACCCGUUCGCGGAGGAGGAUGCC
rnacentral:rRNA from 1 species